AAAGCUUUAAGUUAAAAUAAACUUAUAACCUUCAAAGUUAUAUAUACAUAAAAUGUAAGCUUUA
rnacentral:tRNA from 1 species